UUAAGGUAGAGGGGUAUGGUAAGGGUACUCAAUGUUAUGUAAACAGAGGAUGUGGCUCCUCUUAAGGUAGAGGGGUAUGGUAAGGGUACUCAAUGUUAUGUAAACAGAAGGUGUGGGUCCCCUUAAGGUAGAGGGGUAUGGUAAGGGUAAUGUAAACAGAGGGUGUGGCUCCCCUUAAGGUAGAGGGGUAUGGUAAGGGUACUCAAUGUUAUGUAAACAGAGGGUGUGGGUCCCAUUAAGGUAGAGGGGUAUGGUAAGGGUACUCAAUGUUAUGUAAACAGAGGAUGUGGCUCCCCUUAAGGUAGAGGGGUAUGGUAAGGGUACUCAAUGUUAUGUAAACAGAGGAUGUGGCUCCCCUUAAGGUAGAGGGGUAUGGUAAGGGUAAUGUAAACAGAGGGUGUGGCUCCCCUUAAGGUAGAGGGGUAUGGUAAGGGUAAUGUAAACAGAGGGUGUGGCUCCCAUUAAGGUAGAGGGGUAUGGUAAGGGUAAUGUAAACAGAGGGUGUGG